AACUACAAAAGAAGAAUUAAGACAACGUCUAACCAUAGCAUUAAACUAGUGGAUCCAAAUCAGCCCCUUACGAAGCAACGCAUAGACUGGGGUUUAAGCUUCUGUCACUCUAGCAACCCAUCAUCUACUUACUACUCCCCAAUGCUUCCUCUAGGCCCAAAUAUGGUGAAGUGUUAUGUAGCCGACGUUCACAUAACACCACUAGAGGAAAAACAACAUACAACAUAUCAAAAU
rnacentral:lncRNA from 1 species